rnacentral:rRNA from 1 species
GUGCCAGCAGCCGCGGUAAUACGUAGGUGGCAAGCGUUGUCCGGAUUUAUUGGGCGUAAAGCGAACGCAGGCGGGAGAAUAAGUCAGCUGUGAAAGCCCCCAGCUUAACUGGGGAAGUGCAACUGAAACUAUUUUUCUUGAGUGCAGAAGAGGAGAGUGGAACUCCAUGUGUAGCGGUGGAAUGCGUAGAUAUAUGGAAGAACACCAGUGGCGAAGGCGGCUCUCUGGUCUGUAACUGACGCUGAGGUUCGAAAGCAUGGGUAGCGAACAGGAUUAGAUACCCUGGUAGUCCAUGCCGUAAACGAUGAGUGCUAAGUGUUGGGAGGUUUCCGCCUCUCAGUGCUGCAGCUAACGCAUUAAGCACUCCGCCUGGGGAGUACGACCGCAAGGUUAAAACUCAAAUAAAUUGACGG